rnacentral:rRNA from 1 species
AGAGUUUGAUCAUGGCUCAGAACGAACGCUGGCGGCAGGCUUAACACAUGCAAGUCGAACGCUCGUGAGCGAUCACGGGAGUGGCAGACGGGUGAGUAACGCGUGGGAACAUACCCUCCGGUUCGGAAUAGCUCAGGGAAACUUGGAUUAAUACCGGAUACGCCCGCGGAUGAGAGUCCGCGGGGAAAGAUUGAUCGCCGGAGGAUUGGCCCGCGUUCGAUUAGCUUGUUGGUGAGGUAACGGCUCACCAAGGCGAUGAUCGAUAGCUGGUCUGAGAGGAUGAUCAGCCACAUUGGGACUGAGACACGGCCCAAACUCCUACGGGAGGCAGCAGUGGGGAAUAUUGGACAAUGGGCGCAAGCCUGAUCCAGCCAUGCCGCGUGAGUGAUGACGGCCUUAGGGUUGUAAAGCUCUUUCGCUCGGGACGAUAAUGACGGUACCGAGAGAAGAAGCCCCGGCUAACUUCGUGCCAGCAGCCGCGGUAAUACGAAGGGGGCUAGCGUUGUUCGGAAUUACUGGGCGUAAAGCGCGUGUAGGCGGGUCUUUAAGUCAGGGGUGAAAUGCCAAGGCUCAACCUUGGAACUGCCUUUGAUACUGGAGACCUUGAGUCCGGGAGAGGUGAGUGGAAUUGCGAGUGUAGAGGUGAAAUUCGUAGAUAUUCGCAAGAACACCAGUGGCGAAGGCGGCUCACUGGCCCGGGAACUGACGCUGAGACGCGAAAGCGUGGGGAGCAAACAGGAUUAGAUACCCCUGUAGUCC